rnacentral:rRNA from 1 species
CAGGCUUAACACAUGCAAGUCGAGGGGCAGCAUGGUCUUAGCUUGCUAAGGCCGAUGGCGACCGGCGCACGGGUGAGUAACACGUAUCCAACCUGCCGUCUACUCUUGGACGGCCUUCUGAAAGGAAGAUUAAUACAAGAUGGCAUCAUGAGUCCGCAUGUUCACAUGAUUAAAGGUAUUCCGGUAGACGAUGGGGAUGCGUUCCAUUAGAUAGUAGGCGGGGUAACGGCCCACCUAGUCUUCGAUGGAUAGGGGUUCUGAGAGGAAGGUCCCCCACAUUGGAACUGAGACACGGUCCAAACUCCUACGGGAGGCAGCAGUGAGGAAUAUUGGUCAAUGGGCGAGAGCCUGAACCAGCCAAGUAGCGUGAAGGAUGACUGCCCUAUGGGUUGUAAACUUCUUUUAUAAAGGAAUAAAGUCGGGUAUGCAUACCCGUUUGCAUGUACUUUAUGAAUAAGGAUCGGCUAACUCCGUGCCAGCAGCCGCGGUAAUACGGAGGAUCCGAGCGUUAUCCGGAUUUAUUGGGUUUAAAGGGAGCGUAGAUGGAUGUUUAAGUCAGUUGUGAAAGUUUGCGGCUCAACCGUAAAAUUGCAGUUGAUACUGGAUAUCUUGAGUGCAGUUGAGGCAGGCGGAAUUCGUGGUGUAGCGGUGAAAUGCUUAGAUAUCACGAAGAACUCCGAUUGCGAAGGCAGCCUGCUAAGCUGCAACUGACAUUGAGGCUCGAAAGUGUGGGUAUCAAACAGGAUUAGAUACCCUGGUAGUCCACACGGUAAACGAUGAAUACUCGCUGUUUGCGAUAUACAGCAAGCGGCCAAGCGAAAGCGUUAAGUAUUCCACCUGGGGAGUACGCCGGCAACGGUGAAACUCAAAGGAAUUGACGGGGGCCCGCACAAGCGGAGGAACAUGUGGUUUAAUUCGAUGAUACGCGAGGAACCUUACCCGGGCUUAAAUUGCAGAUGAAUUACGGUGAAAGCCGUAAGCCGCAAGGCAUCUGUGAAGGUGCUGCAUGGUUGUCGUCAGCUCGUGCCGUGAGGUGUCGGCUUAAGUGCCAUAACGAGCGCAACCCUUGUUGUCAGUUACUAACAGGUUCCGCUGAGGACUCUGACAAGACUGCCAUCGUAAGAUGUGAGGAAGGUGGGGAUGACGUCAAAUCAGCACGGCCCUUACGUCCGGGGCUACACACGUGUUACAAUGGGGGGUACAGAGGGCCGCUACCACGCGAGUGGAUGCCAAUCCCAAAAACCUCUCUCAGUUCGGACUGGAGUCUGCAACCCGACUCCACGAAGCUGGAUUCGCUAGUAAUCGCGCAUCAGCCACGGCGCGGUGAAUACGUUCCCGGGCCUUGUACACACCGCCCGUCAAGCCAUGGGAGCCGGGGGUACCUGAAGUGCGUAACCACGAGGAGCGCCCUAGGGUAAAACUGGUGACUGGGGCUAAGU